rnacentral:sRNA from 1 species
GCUGGGCAUGGGGUGCAUGCCUGUAAUCCCAGCGCUCGGGAGGCUGAGGCAGGAGGAUCACAAGUUCAAAGCCAGCCUCAGCAAAAGUGAGGCAACUCAAUGAGACCCUAUCUCUA